rnacentral:tRNA from 1 species
GCGCCUGUAGCUCAGCUGGAUAGAGCGCUGCCCUCCGAAGGCAGAGGCCGGGGGUUCGAAUCCCUUCGGGCGCGCCA